rnacentral:rRNA from 1 species
AGGCUUGUAUGAUGGUCGGACAGAUGAGAACUGUCUCUGUGUAAUAAAUAAAAUUUAAUAUUUAAGUAAAAAAGCUUAAAUAAAAUGAAGGGACGAUAAGACCCUAUAAAGCUUUAUGAUAAAGUUAUCCUCUACGGAAUAAACAUUAUUAAACUAGCUGAUAACGCAUAUCAUUUUACUGGGGCGGUAAAAGUAUAAUAAGAUUAACUGCUUUUGUUUUUACAAACAAUUAUAAUUGAAAACAGAUUGAUCCAUUAUUAAUGAUCACAAGAACAAGUUACUUUAGGGAUAACAGCGUUAUUUUUCUUGAGAGUCCUCAUCGAAAGAAAAGUUUGCGACCUCGAUGUUGAAUUAAGGGUCACCUUAAGGUGCAGCAAUUUUAAAGGUGGAUCUGUUCGAUCUUUAAAUCUUUACAUGAUUUG